GGCACGCUGGGGACAACAUUAUGCGUAUGCCACCCUCACGUGGAUAGCAGGGACAUGCUGAAUAACUGGGCAAACUUCAGAGCAUCGCCACUGAGACUAGCAACUGCAUAUCUCAGCAGGGAGGGCUGGGAGGAGGCAACCACACCUCCACGCUAGCCCCACAUGAACCAGCUGUGUGGAAGGUCUUGGCUUGGCUCACUUGGGAGGUGGGACUGGGGCUGGGCUGGCACAGCAGCUGGCUGAGCACCACUGAUGUGGGAAGAAGAAGCAGGUGCAGUGCAGGUGGGGGAAGAUCUGGCAAUACAGAGAGAAGACCCUCUCCAAAGUGACCUCCCCCACUUCACAGGCAGCUGGAAAGUAGCUGGCAGGAAAUGGAAGGUACCAAGCUGCUGGUGCACCCCAGCAGGCGAGGAAGAGCUGGGAAAACAGAAAACUUCCCCUUGCAGGGUGCUUUCCUCCCUCUAACAAGAAGCAAAGUGAGGGAAGCUGUAACAGCAGAAUGGUGUGCAACUGCUCAUCUCUAUGACUGCUGCACCCUGGAACUGAACCCAUGAGACCUCAGUCUUCCUAUUCAUCUGUUGUCUGCAAAUAGCUGUGAAACUCCCAGCUGAAAUGGAUGUCCUACUCCUUCCCCUCCUUUCCUUUAAACAGUGGCUGGACUAUGAAGAAAAGAACAGCUUGUUUAAUGCAGCGCAUCUGCAGUGCAGACCUUUAGUACUUGACUGAAACUAACAACUCUUCUGUGGCAGCCAAAAUGGGUGAUCAAUACAAAUCCAUGUGACAAAAUAUUUUUUCCAUUUUUUGUUCAAAGAUUAAAUUUUUUUUGUUGCAAUG